rnacentral:rRNA from 1 species
UACGUAUGGUGCAAUCGUUAUCCGGAUUUACUGGGUGUAAAGGGAGCGCAGGCGGCACGGCAAGCCUGAUGUGAAAGCCCGCGGCCCAACCGCGGGACUGCAUUGGGAACUACCGGGCUGGAGUGCCGGAGAGGUAGGCGGAAUUCCUAGUGUAGCGGUGAAAUGCGUAGAUAUUAGGAGGAACACCAGUGGCGAAGGCGGCCUACUGGACGGUGACUGACGCUGAGGCUCGAAAGCGUGGGGAGCAAACAGG